rnacentral:tRNA from 2 species
CGGGGAGUGGCGCAGCGGUAGCGCACCUGCUUUGGGAGCAGGAGGUCGGGGGUUCGAAUCCCCCCUCCCCGA